GACGAACGCUGGCGGCGUGGAUUAGGCAUGCAAGUCGAACGGUAUCAUCCUUUCGGGGGUGAGAGAGUGGCGAACUGGUGAGUAACACGUAGGUUAUCUACCCUCAAGACGGGGACAACCCAGGGAAACUUGGGCUAAUACCGGAUGUGAGCAACUUUUAGUUGUUUGAAAGGUGGCGUAAGCUGUCGCUUGGGGAUGAGCCUGCGUCCUAUUAGUUAGUUGGUGAGGUAACGGCUCACCUAGGCAAUGAUAGGUAGGCGGCCUUAACGGGUGGUCGCCCACACUGGGAUUGAGAUACGGCCCAGACUCCUACGGGAGGCAGCAGUCGAGAAUAGUCUACAAUGGUCGGAAGACUGAUAGUGCGACGCCGCGUGAACGAUGAAUCCCUUCGGGGUGUAAAGUUCUUUUAUAUGUGAGCAGUGCUUCUUAUAUUAACAGUAUGGGGAAGAGAUAUUAGCAUAUGAAUAAGCAACGGCUAAACUCCGUGCCAGCAGCCGCGGUAAGACG
rnacentral:rRNA from 1 species